UACGUAGGGUGCAAGCGUUAAUCGGAAUUACUGGGCGUAAAGCGUGCGCAGGCGGUGAUGUAAGACAGAUGUGAAAUCCCCGGGCUCAACCUGGGAACUGCAUUUGUGACUGCAUCGCUGGAGUGCGGCAGAGGGGGAUGGAAUUCCGCGUGUAGCAGUGAAAUGCGUAGAUAUGCGGAGGAACACCGAUGGCGAAGGCAAUCCCCUGGGCCUGCACUGACGCUCAUGCACGAA
rnacentral:rRNA from 1 species